rnacentral:rRNA from 1 species
UACGGAGGGAGCUAGCGUUGUUCGGAAUUACUGGGCGUAAAGCGCACGUAGGCGGCGAUUCAAGUCAGAGGUGAAAGCCCGGGGCUCAACCCCGGAACUGCCUUUGAAACUAGAUUGCUAGAAUCCUGGAGAGGCGAGUGGAAUUCCGAGUGUAGAGGUGAAAUUCGUAGAUAUUCGGAAGAGCACCAGUGGCGAAGGCGACUCGCUGGACAGGUAUUGACGCUGAGGUGCGAAAGCGUGGGGAGCAAACAGG